CAAUAGCGUAUAUUAAAGUUGUUGCGGUUAAAAAGCUCGUAGUUGGAGUUCUGCCAGGUGCCGCCUGUCCGCCCCAGUGGUGAGUACGUGGCGCGCAUUUGGCCCUUUCAAGGGGAGCGUAUCUGCACUUUAUUGUGUGGUGCGGGAUCCUCGACUUUUACUUUGAGGAAAUAGGAGUGUUCCAAGCAGGCUCUCGUCGUGCACAGCUCAGCAUGGAAUAAUAGCAUUGGACCUCGAUUCUAAGCUGUUGGUUGCCAGAAGCGAGGUAAUGAUGAAGAGGGAUAGUUGGGGGCAUUCGUAUUUAACUGUCAGGGGUGAAAUUCUUGGAUUUGUUAAAGACGGACUACUGCGAAAGCAUCUGCCAUGGAUGUUUUCAUUGA
rnacentral:rRNA from 1 species